GGAAAGUAGAGAAUAUGCAUUAAUGGUUCUUUGUAUUACAGGAUGGGAUACGUGGAGCCCUGCAGAGAUCUGUGCUGGAAUCCCAACAUGUUACAAUUUACGUCAAUUUAUGUCUUUGUGUAUUGUGACUUUGGAUCUGCCUCUUUUGAUAGCCCUGCUGAUAUCUUUCUAAAAAUGUUGCACUGGAUGCACUUUACUUUUCCAUGAAGAAUCAGAACUAAAGGGAGUGAUGGUGAGCUGCCUUCUUGAACUGCUGCAGUCCACGUCCUUUGACUGAAGGGAUUCACACAUGGAGCUAGGAGAAUGAUGGGUACCACUGGAUUAGGCAAUGAAAAUAUGUUUAAGGACGUUGGAAACAAAAAUAAUAUAUUGAUGUGAGACACCUGAAGU